UACGUAGGGUGCGAGCGUUGUCCGGAAUUACUGGGCGUAAAGAGCUCGUAGGUGGUUUGUCGCGUUGUUCGUGAAAACUCACAGCUUAACUGUGGGCGUGCGGGCGAUACGGGCAGAACUGGAGUACUGCAGGGGAGACUGGAAUUCCUGGUGUAGCGGUGGAAUGCGCAGAUAUCAGGAGGAACACCGGUGGCGAAGGCGGGUCUCUGGGCCGAUACUGACGCUGAGGAGCGAAAGCGUGGGGAGCGAACAGG
rnacentral:rRNA from 1 species